rnacentral:rRNA from 1 species
ACGAACGCUGGCGGCGUGCUUAACACAUGCCAGUCGAACGGAAAGGCCCUGCUUUUGUGGGGUGCUCGAGUGGCGAACGGGUGAGUAACACGUGAGUAACCUGCCCUUGACUUUGGGAUAACUUCAGGAAACUGGGGCUAAUACCGGAUAGGAGCUCCUGCUGCAUGGUGGGGGUUGGAAAGUUUCGGCGGUUGGGGAUGGACUCGCGGCUUAUCAGCUUGUUGGUGGGGUAGUGGCUUACCAAGGCUUUGACGGGUAGCCGACCUGAGAGGGUGACCGGCCACAUUGGGACUGAGAUACGGCCCAGACUCCUACGGGAGGCAGCAGUGGGGAAUAUUGCACAAUGGGCGGAAGCCUGAUGCAGCAACGCCGCGUGCGGGAUGACGGCCUUCGGGUUGUAAACCGCUUUCGCCUGUGACGAAGCGUGAGUGACGGUAAUGGGUAAAGAAGCACCGGCUAACUACGUG